rnacentral:lncRNA from 1 species
CAAAGAAAGUAUACGUUUUCCUUGAAAUCGUCUUUCCUGGAAAGUCUAGGAGAUGUCAUUACUCUGGUUCUACUUUCCUUCUGCUUCCCUAUGGAAAUCACUGAUCCUUGUUGGUUGUCUCUCGAACAGAGGAUGAUGAUUGUCUUUGUGAGUUUUUGUGCACAAAGAUACCUGUGUAUGA